rnacentral:rRNA from 1 species
AUUCCUACGGGGGGCAGCAGUGAGGAAUAUUGGUCAAUGGGAGAGAUCCUGAACCAGCCAAGCCGCGUGAGGGAAGACGGCCCUAUGGGUUGUAAACCUCUUUUGUCGGAGAACAAAACCCGGGACGUGUCCCGGACUGCGUGUAUCCGAAGAAAAAGCAUCGGCUAACUCCGUGCCAGCAGCCGCGGUAAUACGGAGGAUGCGAGCGUUAUCCGGAUUUAUUGGGUUUAAAGGGUGCGCAGGCGGAGGCACAAGUCAGCGGUAAAAUCGCGGGGCUCAACCCCGCUCCGCCGUUGAAACUGUGU